rnacentral:rRNA from 1 species
AUUGAACGCUGGCGGCAUGCCUUACACAUGCAAGUCGAACGGCAGCGCGUCCUUCGGGAUGGCGGCGAGUGGCGAACGGGUGAGUAAUACAUCGGAACGUGCCCGAGAGUGGGGGAUAACGCAGCGAAAGCUGUGCUAAUACCGCAUACGAUCUCAGGAUGAAAGCAGGGGACCGCAAGGCCUUGCGCUCACGGAGCGGCCGAUGGCAGAUUAGGUAGUUGGUGGGAUAAAAGCUUACCAAGCCGACGAUCUGUAGCUGGUCUGAGAGGACGACCAGCCACACUGGGACUGAGACACGGCCCAGACUCCUACGGGAGGCAGCAGUGGGGAAUUUUGGACAAUGGGCGCAAGCCUGAUCCAGCCAUGCCGCGUGAGUGAAGAAGGCCUUCGGGUUGUAAAGCUCUUUCGGGCGGGGAAGAAAUCGCAUCUCCUAAUACGGGGUGUGGAUGACGGUACCCGAAUAAGAAGCACCGGCUAACUACGUG